rnacentral:rRNA from 1 species
UACAGAGGGUGCUAGCGUUGUUCGGAAUCAUUGGGCGUAAAGGGCGUGUAGGCGGUUUGCUAAGUCAUGUGUGAAAUCCCUCGGCUUAACCGGGGAACGACGCAUGAAACUGGCAAGCUAGAGUACCAAAGAGGGGGGUGGAAUUCCCGGUGUAGCGGUGAAAUGCGUAGAUAUUGGGAGGAACACCAGUGGCGAAGGCGGCUCACUGGACCGGUACUGACGCUGAUGCGCGAAAGCGUGGGGAGCAAACGGG